UUUAUAUUUCUUGAAAUCAACCUGCAGCUUAAGCCAGCGGUUAUAUUUGUCGAAGGGAGGAAAACAGCACUGUCCUUCAUACACAAGUGAUUAAGUCACGGUCAAAUAGUAAUAAUUGUUCGUAUAUCACUAUCUGAAAUCCGGAACGUGGGCGAAUAAUUGUUACUGCCCACAACGGAUUCAUUCAACAACAUUGGUCGGAGUUAUACAUUUAUUAUAUUUAAAAACAAAUCACAAAGAUGAUAAUCGAAACGCCGCUUUGUCAAAGAUGCUGCUUUUGCCUGCCUCUUCGAAGGGGCAUUAUCGCGUUCGGAUACUUUAAUAUUAUUUGGUCGACUUUAAUGACAGCGUUCAUGAUUUUCACCAACCAUAGCAUUUUUAUUAUACACGGGACGUCGCAAGAAUGGGGUGAACCUGCUACUUAUAUUGCCAGCAUUGUGGAUAUACUGUUAAGCGUGGUUCUAGUUAUUGGCGGCCAUAAGAAUUUGACAAUUUGCCUCAAAGUAUUCUUCUACUACACAUGUUUAACAUUACUGGCAAUAUUCGUUAUCCAGAUAUAUGCCUUAACUAAUUUAGUAUACUCCGAUACUGUAAUUGAGACAGGAUUGUUUAUUAUCAGUACAAUUAUUCAUGUGUAUAUACUACUCCAAAUAAACAGUUUAAUAAACAAAAUAAACCACAGUACAACUGAAACAGGAUAUGAGAAUCAGUUGGGUGAAUUUGGUGCGAAACACAUUGAAAAUAAAAAUUCUUCCACUGAUGCUACAGUACACAUCGAAUGAAGCAACGUCUGGAGUAUAAGUACAUAAAUUUUUGUAACGGUACAAAAUUUACAAAGUGUAAAUAUAUAACAUUAAAUAAUUAUUUAGAGUCGAGCUAACUCCUGUAUGUAAGAAAAGAUUUGAAUUUGAAAUUAACGCUCACGUGUUUCAAAUUAAAAUCUUUUCUCGAUGUAUGUGUCUCGAUUCUCGAGUUGUACUAUAUACAAAAAAUAAAUAAAAAACAACACAAUAUUGCUUACUUAAAUAAAUACAGCUAACUAAAAUAUUAUUAAAAGGAGUCCCUUUAGGCAAGGUUCCGAAGAUACUGGAAGCUUUGAAUAGCUAGACUAACUGUUUGUCCGAGGUCACUGCCAGCUCUUCGGUCUUGUGUGAUGUCGACAAUACAUAUACAAUUAUAUUACAUUUAUUAUUAUAAAGCUGUUAAAUUAAAAACAUAAUUAUUUAAUUAAUCUAUAAACGUACUAGCUUUUAACUAAAUAAAGAAAAAAAUACUAAAGAUAUAUGGUAAGAAUAAAAUGAAUAGUUUUAAUUAUUUUUCAAACUUUAACUCCAGGUUUAAUAAAACCACACAAUAUAAUAG